AACUCCAAAAAAUUAAAAUUUCCUGCCCAAUUGAACUUCUUUUCCUUACGUGUAUCCGCCACACAAUUGAUCUUGCAGGCUAACCCGAAAUUCACCUUUAUCAACAGCCACCACGUCCACCGCCUACUUCUCCAAGUAUCCCAAUUUCCGCUUCGAAACGCUCCAACACUCGAGGAGACGUGUUGUAGGGUGGGCCCUGCAGGAGGAGUUGCUGGCCCACCCGUCGGUCGGGGGUUCAAAAAAGAUUCACCUUUUUUGAGGUGUAUUGUAUUCUAAUAAGUUAUUAAUUGAGAAGUGAAGUAUGUAGACAAUGAUACUAUCAUAUCUUUUUUUUGUUCUACUGUGAGCUGUGUGUAAAUUAUUAUUAUGUUGUUGCAAGUAUUAUGUGAGAGCUAUUUGAUGUGGCCUGGUAGGAGAAUUUUAGUGCUGAUGAUGUGGCAGUGAAAAGACUAUGUGAGAGGUUCUACUAUGUGAGAUGUUCUACCCUAUUGGAGAUGCUCUAACUGAUGCUUCAUCUUUUAAUUGUAGGUGGGAACUCAAGCCGAGUAGGCUCAAGGAUAAAAUAAGAUUUUUUCAGUCGCUAAUUACUUCCACAAUCCUUGUCCAAUGCUUACAUUUUAAGAUCGGUAAUUUUGGUGACAUGAGGUGCUGUUGGCUUAGAUACCGGAGAUUAGUUAACAGCAGUGGGAAGGGCGGACAUAGGAGGGGAUGUCCUAGUGACGUGGCAGUGGGAUGGGAAGUCCUAGUGACGUGGCAGGAGGUGUUUUUGGGAUGUCCUAGUGGAUGUCCUAGUGGGAUGUCCGCCCACUGGAGAUGCUCUUUGACACUUUGUUCAGCCAGCGUUUCGCAUAUGGAAAUAUUUUGAAAGUUUUAGGUGGACAAGGUAUUGUCAAGCUAUUCCACCGAGAUGCACAUAAAUGGGCAACAGUAGGAGAAUUAGGUGUGAGGGAGAUGCCAGAGAUGGUUUACGGAGACUGCAGGCAAUGUCUUCCUUUUGUUGAGUGUUGCGGAUGCCUUAGAGGCUAGCGAGAAGCUAAUAACUGCUGAAAAUGAAGCUGAUGUUGCUGAAGCACUACAGGCUGCUGGAUAUGACAAGGCUUGCUUUGAAGCCUGGCAAGGUUUCAAGUCUUGCAAAUUCUAUUCGUGUGCUUGCAAACAUGGAAGAGCCAGUUGGUCGGGUUUUGAAAAGAAUGGAAGUCAGUAUUGCAUCAUAAUUAUAGUAUCGGUUCUUAUCCUCGUGGUACUUUGUUUGUAUAAUAUUGUUUGCAAUUGAUAAGUAGAAAAGUAGGAUGAUCUCAAUUUGUAAACCCUUAAUGAGAAAUGUCACCUUCUAUAUCAUCAGCUUAUGCCAAAAAGAGUAGCA